rnacentral:rRNA from 1 species
CUGGGCGUAAAGCGAGCGUAGGUGGCUUGAUAAGUCAGAUGUGAAAUCCCCGGGCUUAACCUGGGAACUGCAUCUGAUACUGUUAAGCUAGAGUAGGUGAGAGGGAAGUAGAAUUCCAGGUGUAGCGGUGAAAUGCGUAGAGAUCUGGAGGAAUACCGAUGGCGAAGGCAGCUUCCUGGCAUCAUACUGACACUGAGGCUCGAAAGCGUGGGUAGCAAACAGGAUUAGAUACCCUGGUAGUCCACGCCGUAAACGAUGUCUACUAGUCGUUGGGUCCCUUGAGGACUUAGUGACGCAGCUAACGCAAUAAGUAGACCGCCUGGGGAGUACGGCCGCAAGGUUAAAACUCAAAUGAAUUGACGGGGGCCCGCACAAGCGGUGGAGCAUGUGGUUUAAUUCGAUGCAACGCGAAGAACCUUACCUGGUCUUGACAUACACAGAAUCUUGUAGAGAUACGAGAGUGCCUUCGGGAAUUGUGAUACAGGUGCUGCAUGGCUGUCGUCA